rnacentral:rRNA from 1 species
GCAGGCUGAAAUUCGCCUGCAUGAAGCCGGAAUUGCUAGUAAUGGCAGGUCAGCAUACUGCCGUGAAUACGUUCCCGGGCCUUGUACACACCGCCCGUCACACCAUGAGAGUUGGGGAUACCCAAAGCCCGUGAGCCAACUGUAAAGAGGCAGCGGUCUAAGGUAGAAACAAUGAUUGGGGUGAAGUCGUAACAAGGUAAC